rnacentral:rRNA from 1 species
GACAGAGGAUGCAAGCGUUAUCCGGAAUGAUUGGGCGUAAAGCGUCUGUAGGUGGCUUUUCAAGUCCGCCGUCAAAUCCCAGGGCUCAACCCUGGACAGGCGGUGGAAACUACCAAGCUGGAGUACGGUAGGGGCAGAGGGAAUUUCCGGUGGAGCGGUGAAAUGCGUAGAGAUCGGAAGGAACACCAGUGGCGAAGGCGGCUACCUGGACAGAUACUGACACUGAGGCGCGAGAGCGUGGGGAGCAAACAGG